rnacentral:pre_miRNA from 1 species
UGUGCAAUUGCUAGAUUGUACGGUAAGAGUAUGAUUAGUUUUGUAAGAGACUUCUGCACUGUCUUCCAAAGUUACUAUACUGAUUUGCAUUCCCACCAGCAAU